UAAGGAAUAUUUCACAGUGGGGGAAACCCUGAUGCAGCAACGCCGCGUGAGUGACGAAGGCCUUCGGGUUGUAAAACUCUUUUCUGAGGGAUGAGGAAGGACAGUACCUUAGGAAUAAGUCUCGGCUAACUACGUGCCAGCAGCCGCGGUAAAACGUAGGAGGCGAGCGUUAUCCGGAUUUACUGGGCGUAAAGGGCAAGUAGGCGGUGGUUCAAGUUGGGCGUGACAGAUCCUGGCUUAACGGGAAGAGGUCGUUCAAAACUGGAUCACUAGAGGGCAGGAGAGGGGAGCGGAAUUCCUAGUGUAGCGGCGGAAUGCUCAGAUAUUAGGAAGAACACCAGUGGCGAAAGCGGCUUUCUGGCCUGCACCUGACGCUGAAGGGCGAAAGCUAGGGGAGCGAACGG
rnacentral:rRNA from 1 species